rnacentral:tmRNA from 1 species
GGGGGCGUUUGGUUUUGACAGCAUAGAUCUUUGAAAGUAUAAGCAUGUUCUGCGUUGCGUAAUUAGCAGGCUAAUCUGAAUACGAAAAACACAAAUGGCAAUACUCAGUAUGCCAUGGCUGCCUAAUCAGUGAUUAAGUAGUCAUUAGGGCCGCCGGGCCGGUUGUUCUGUUACCAAGCCCCGCCGCCGACUAAAAACAAAUACAGGAUGCUGCAACACCAGGCUGUGCAGGUUGCAAAAGAGCCCCUCACGGGGUCAUCCAGCUAAGGAAUAUAUCGGUUGCCCGUUCCCAGUAUAUUCCCGACAAUCCAAAACCGGAUAAGCAUGUAGAAGGCUUUCGGCGAAUAUGUUUGGACACCGGUUCGAAUCCGGUCGCCUCCACUU